rnacentral:lncRNA from 1 species
UUAUCCCGAUGGACAGAGAAGUGAGCUUGGACAUGGCUUACUUGGACCUUUACUUUGAGUUCAGGAAGGGAGCCGACAAUUGGAUGGUCAAAUAGGAUGGAUGGACUUGAGCGUUAUGAAUGAACCAUAGCCCGACCGCAAGGGCUAUUAUCCAUGCAUGAAUGAUUGGUUCUACUAGUCUAAGCGACCUCUGUUGUAAUACCCGGCUAGAAUCUGGCAUCGGAAUUCUACUGUUCGGUGGAAUCCAGGAUGUCGGAAUCCUCUAGAAGGGUAAUAAAUAUGUUUUUGAAUGUGGUUUAGUAAGUUUUAAUGUUUUGAAAUAGAAUUGCUGCCUGGUACCAGACCGAUCUCUAUCCCUCCCUACAGGAUGACACCAAAGCAGAGUUAAAAGAGCUGAAAGAGCAGUUGCAGGAGUUGGUAGAUAAAGGUUUCAUCCGCCCUAGUAUCUCACCUUGGGGUGCUCCAAUGUUGUUUGUCAGAAAGAAGGAUGGAUCCCUCAGAUUUUGUAUCGACUAUAGACAGUUGAACAAGGUCACUACCAAGAACAAGUAUCCCUUACCUAGGAUCGACGAUCUAUUUGACCAGUUAGUUGGAGCAGAUUGUUUCUCUAAAAUAGAUCUGAGAUUCGGGUAUCAUCAGCUGAGAGUCAGAGAGGCAGAUGUGCUAAAGACAACAUUCAGAACCAGAUAUGGGCAUUAUGAGUUCUUAGUAAUACCGUUCGGGUUGACUAAUGCCCCUGCAGCAUUCAUGGACCUCAUGAAUAGAGUUUUUAGCCAGUAUCUGGAUCACUUUGUUAUUGUCUUUAUCGAUGAUAUCUUAGUGUAUUCCAGAGAUGCAGAGGAGCAUGCCCAUCAUCUGAGAACAGUUCUGUAGACCUUGAGAGAGCAUGGCUUGUAUGCCAAGUUCUCUAAGUGUGAGUUUUGGUUGAGGAGCAUCGCAUUCUUGGGGCAUGUAGUAUCAGCAGAAGGUAUUGAGGUAGACCCCAAGAAGAUAGAGGCUGUAGCUAACUGGCCCAAACCCACCACAGUGAUAGAGAUUAAAAGUUUUUUGGGUCUGGCAGGUUACUACAGGAGGUUCGUUCAGGACUUCUCAAAGAUUGCCGCUCCUAUGACCAAACUGACCAAGAAGAACCAGAGGUUCGUGUGGUCGGACCAGUGUGAAGAAAGCUUUGAAGAGCUAAAGAAAAGAUUAACAUCAGCACCGGUGUUAGCUCUGCCCGUCAGUAAUGAGGACUUCACAGUGUUCUGUGAUGCGUCCCGAGUGGGACUGGGUUGUGUUUUGAUGUAGAACGAUAGGGUGAUUGCUUAUGCUUCUAGACAGCUGAAGAAGCAUGAGUUGAAUUACCCCACACAUGACCUAGAGAUGGCGGCAAUUAUCUUUGCACUCAAGAUGUGGAGGCAUUACCUUUAUGGGGUUAAAUGCGAGAUCUUCACAGAUCAUAAGAGUUUACAAUAUAUCUUGAGUCAGAAAGAGCUGAAUUUGAGGCAGAGAAUAUGGGUAGAACUGCUCAGUGACUAUGAUUGCAAGAUUCAGUAUCAUCCGGGUAAGGCGAAUGUUGUGGCAGACGCCCUAAGCCGGAAAUCACUUCACAGUUUAUCCCAUAUAGCAGCAGAGAGAAGACCAGUGGUGAUGGAGUUUUAUAAGCUCAUCGACGAAGGGCUACAGCUAGAGUUGUCUGGUACGGGUGCGUUGAUAGCACAGAUGAGAGUGACACCCGUGUUUCUGGAGCAGGUAGCUCAAAAACAGCAUGAGGACCCUGAAUUAGUGAAAAUUGCCAGGACUGUUCAGUCGGACAACAGUGCAGAGUUCAGAUUUGAUAGCAAAGGGAUCCUCCGCUAUGGGAAUCAACUAUGUGUACCAGAUGACAUAAGUCUGAAAGGAGACAUUAUGAGGGAAGCUCAUAAUGCCAGGUACAGUGUUCACCCUGGAGCCACCAAGAUGUAUCAGGAUUUGAAAAGAGUGUAUUGGUGGCCAGCUAUGAAGAAAGAAGUGGCACAAUUUGUAUCCGCCUGUGAGGUUUGCCAGAGGGUGAAACUGGAAUAUCAGAAGCCGGCUGGAAUGCUUAACCCACUACCGAUUCCAGAGUGGAAAUGGGAGAACAUAGCUAUGGAUUUUGUGGUGGGGUUACCGGCAGUGUCCAACAGACUAGACUCCAUAUGGGUGAUUGUAGACAAACUGACUAAAUCUGCUCACUUCAUCCCUGUUAGGAGUAAUUACUCUGUGGAUAAGUUGGCACAGGUUUAUAUGGAAGAGAUAGUAAGGUUGCAUGGGGUUCCAGUGUCUAUAGUGUCAGAUAGAGGACCCCAGUUCACCUCCAGAUUUUGGCGGAGUCUGUAGAGUGCUAUAGGCACAAUGUUGGAUUUUAGCAUUGCUUUCCAUCCUCAGACUGACGGACAGUCAGAGAGGACCAUCCAGACCAUAGAGGAUAUGCUCAGAAUGUGUGUGCUAGAUUUUGGCGGUUCUUGGAGGCAACAUCUACCUUUAGUGGAGUUUGCCUACAAUAACAGCUAUCAUGCUAGCAUAGGGAUGGCUCCAUAUGAAGUUCUUUAUGGGAGGAAGUGCAGAUCACCUGUUUGCUGGGAAGAAGUGGGAGAGAAGGCUCUUGCAGGGCCGGAGUUAGUGGAAAUCACUAGCAGGGUAGUGCCCAUUAUCACAGAGAGAAUCAGAACUGCUGUGAGCAGACAAAAAAGUUAUGCAAAUGUCCGCAGGAAGCAGAUAGAGUUUCAGGAGGGUGAUUUGGUAUUGCUGAAGGUGUCUCCAAUGAAGGGAGUGGUUCGUUUUGGGAAGAAGGGUAAGCUAGCUCCACGAUACAUUGGACCCUUUGAGAUCAUGCAGAAGAUCAAAAAUGUGUCGUAUAAGCUGGAUUUACCUGCUUCUAUGGAGAGGAUCCAUCCGGUAUUCCAUGUUUUCAUGUUGCGAAAGUUUGUGUCAAAUCCGAGUAAGGUUCUUAGUGAGCCUGAUGUAGCGAUCCUUGGAGAUCUCACCUAUAUAGAGCAGCCAGUGCGGAUCCUAGACACGCAGAUCAGAAAGCUGAGGAAUAAGGAAAUUCCGAUGGUGAAAGUCCUUUGGAACCACCACAAUAUUGAAGAAUGCACCUGGGAGACACGGGAGUCUAUGCUCCAGCAAUAUCCGUAUCUGUUUUAAGGUUCGUUUGUCCUCCUUUUUAUGUGUUUAGUUGUUUGAGGAACAUUCGGGGAUGAAUGUUCUUAAGGAGGGGAGAAUGUAAUACCCAGCUAGAGUCUGGCAUCGGAAUUCUACUGUUUGGUGGAAUCCAGGAUGUCGGAAUCCUCUAGAAGGGUAAUAGAUAUGUUUUUGAAUGUGGUUUAGUAAGUUUUAAUGUUUUAAGUGUAAAAGAAAAUGAGUUUUUGAAAGAAAAGAACCAAGGAAGAAAAGCCAGGUUCGGCCGCCGAAAGUGAUGUUCGACCGCCGAACAUGCAUGACUUUGGAAUCACGUUUGGCCGCCGAAGGUGGUCUGGCCAGCCACCUAUAAAAGGCCAUAGGUCGGUGAAUGGAUAAGAUUUUUCUUUCCAUUUCCACGGACAGAGGUGAGACCAUGAUCUUCCUUGGGUGAUCUUCCUGUUUUCUUCAAAUCUUUCAAAGUUUUGAUAAGUUUUCAUGUUGUUUGAAGCUUUUGAGCUAAAAAUAAAAGGGAGACUUUGAGAGAGAGUUGCUCCAUAUCUCCACGUUAGGAUCACCUAUCCUCUCGAUCUUCAAGAGGUAAGUGUAGAUUCUUAUCUUCUUUUCAUGUUUUAUGGAGUUGUAUGGGUAGAAAUGCAUGAUUAAGUUAAGUAGGGUUUUUGGUUGAUUGUUGGUGAAAGCAUGUUUAUGUGUUGAGUUGUGAUGUUUGUUGGGGUUUUAAGGUAGUUUUGGACCCCUUUGUGCAUGUACUUGAGUAUAUGUUUGUUGUUGAGUUGUUGAGUUGUUGGUUGCAUGUAUGAGGAAGUUUGGAGAAGUUUUGCAUGAGGCAGAGCAGGGUUCUGCCUUACUAGAGAACCCAGUUUCGGCCGCCGAAGGAAGGUUCGGCAGCCGAAGGAAGGUUCGGCCGCCGAACAUGCUAAGGAGGUGGUUUCGGCUGCCUAAGCUCGCCCCCGAAAGUUUGGACUUUCGGCUCUGGAAGGAGUUUCGGCCGCCGAAUGUGCCGCCGAAGGUUUGGGACUUUCGUCUCUGGAAAGGACUUUCGGCAGUCGAAGGUGCCGCCGAAAAUACCUGAGUUUCGGCUCUGGAGGGACUUUCGGCCGCCGAACCUGCCGCCGAAAGUGCCCUGUCCAACCUUCUUUUGCAUAUUUUCCUUGCUUGUUUUAGGGGGGGUUUUUGGGGAGUUUUAUAGAGAUGUUCUUGAGUUAGUUUGGUCCCUUAUUUGAGUCCACCUGUGUAAGAACGGACCAGAGGAACCGAAGAGAUCAGCAGUGAGCACUGUUUCAAAAGCAGUACAGAGUUAGUCAGAGGUGAGUGGAACUAAACGUAAUCCUUUUAAUUGAGAAAUCAAAUGCUUUUAGCAUGUUUCAUGCAUCAUGCUUAUGCAAUAGAUUAAUUGCAUUAGAAGUCACUAUUAUGUGCAUUGCAUUAUUUCUUGUAUUUGCGGACGGACAUAGAGUUUGUUUCAUUAGCCCUCCCAGUAAAGUCCUGAGGAGCCCCAUUGAGGGCCGGGCACAGUAAAGUCCUGAGGAGCCCCGAGAGGACCUGGCACAGAGUACUUUUGUACUAUUGAUUGUAUAAUAAAGUCCUGAGGAGCUCCUUCGCGGGCCGGGCACUGAGGGAUUUUUGAUUCAGUCCAUCCGGUAUGUGAUUACUUGUGCUGUGAUGCAUUUCAUGUGAGCAUGUUUAUUAACAUGUUUUUAUUGUUCUACUCACUGGGCUAAUAUAGCUCACCCCUCUCCCUUAACCCCAGUCUUGCAGGAUCAGAGUACAGGGGGAGUUCAGCAGAGUACAUGAAGAGUAAAGAGUUGUGUAAUAGCAUAGUGUGGACAUGUAAUAUUGUAAAGAGAUGUUUUAGUAUUGUAUAGAGUAUAGUAGUGUGCUUGACCCAUAUGUUUUGUAAAUCCCUUUUUGUAUACAUGGUCUGUUUAUGUAAAUGUAUUUUUAUGAGUAUGAAAACCAGGCUUAACAUAUCAAGAGUUUUAACCCGUCUAGAGCAAUGAUGAGAGCUCUAGUAAGGAGUUCUAUAGUACAGAGAUAGUGCAUGCACAGGUUGAGCCUUGGUACAGAGCAAAAUUUUAUGUUUUUACAAAAAAUGUAUGAUCAUGUAUGAGAUUUUAUAGGUAUUCAGAGAGUAUAGCAGAUUUGCUACGGGUCCUAGCGACCUUAAAUCGAUCUGAAUCCUAGCGCCGAUAGCGGUCCGUUUCCGAGUCGUUACAUCUGUGAUAAUGCUUUGUCUCCAAUUUAAUGACACUUGUUUUGAAAGAAUAACGUAUACUAUGAAGUUCGAAGUUCAAAUCCUUCCAAUUUUAUGAUGUGAACAUAUUAUCGAGGGAAA